AACCGGACAUAUAACUGGAUGGCAUGUUCGGGCAGCUAUGCUGUGAUUUUUCAGUCCCAUACUGUCUUUUAAGUGUCCGGGAAAUUAAAGUUUUGAAAAUGCUUCUUACACGGUCCUGAAUCUUUUCCAUGCUCUUGACCGUUUACUUUUUCUCGACAUUC
rnacentral:snoRNA from 1 species